AAAGAAGCGACAAGCGCAAGUAAGUCUCUUCGUCAUUCGCGGUAGUGGUAUGUUGCCUCUUUGUGGAAGUGUUGCAUUGUUGAACAAUGGAUACAAUCAUGAAUCUGACAACCAUAAAUCAGCCUCUUUGUGGAAGUGUUGCAUUGUUGAACAAUGGAUACAAUCAUGAAUCUGACAACCAUAAAUCAGCAACUUUGUGGAAGUGAGUUGCAUAGUUGAACAAUGGAUGCCACCAUGAAACUGGACACACACAAACCAGCAAAUGGUCAAGACUGGCAGACACAAGCACAGAAGCAUUUUAGAGCGAAAUGGUGGUGAGUUUGUUUAUACUUUAUUCUCCUGAAACUGAAGUCUGAAAUUGGAUCACAGCCGUGUUGAAACAUUCAGAGAUGUGAUGCAUUAAACAUUUAGUUUCUGUGAACAUGGUAUUUGUGUUUUGUAUAUAGUGCCCAUUUCCAUCUUGACUAAAUUAUCCCUUUGAUACAUAUAUAACUACUGUUGACCUUCAGGAGUUUAGCUACAAAGCUAAAUUGCUUGCCUUUUAUUGACCAGUUUGGUAAUGGGUGUCCCUUAAGCUGUAAUGUAGUUUGGCUCAUUGGGGGAAAUGGGGUAGGGCUUUCACCAUCCAUUUUGUACAUUUAUUGAUGUUGAAACGCUGCAGUGACACUGGGGUACAUUCAGGUCAAGCUUUAUGUAAUCUUUAACAAAGAUUACAGCUGUGGUGGAGUCUGUUUCAAUCUAAAAAAUAACAUUCUCUAUACUUUACCUUUCAGUAUGCUCUCUGAAAUGUUGUGAUACCGUACAUUUUGCCUGUGUCAUUGAGUUUAACCUUUGCUUCUGAUGUGGGGAAAAUUGCAAAUCGAUUAAAACUGAUUCUAUUCUCAAA